AACGCGAAGAACCUUACCAGGUCUUGACAUCCCCUGACAACCCGAGAGAUCGGGCGUUCCCCUUCGGGGGACAGGGUGACAGGUGGUGCAUGGUUGUCGUCAGCUCGUGUCGUGAGAUGUUGGGUUAAGUCCCGCAACGAGCGCAACCCUCGACCUUAGUUGCCAGCAUUCAGUUGGGCACUCUAAGGUGACUGCCGGCUAAAAGUCGGAGGAAGGUGGGGAUGACGUCAAAUCAUCAUGCCCCUUAUGACCUGGGCUACACACGUGCUACAAUGGGCGGUACAAAGGGUCGCGAACCCGCGAGGGGGAGCCAAUCCCCAUAAAGCCGGUCUCAGUUCGGAUUGGAGUCUGCAACUCGACUCCAUGAAGUUGGAAUCGCUAGUAAUCGCGGAUCAGCAUGCCGCGGUGAAUACGUUCCCGGGCCUU
rnacentral:rRNA from 1 species